rnacentral:lncRNA from 1 species
GCUGACUUCAAAGGUGCUUUUCAAAUUUUUUUAAUUUUUCUAUUUCAGGGAUAAUAGCCCAGCUUUUCAGAAGCAUUUUGCUCUGCAAUCAAAUCAAAUAUUCUUAAACGGACAGGGCCAAGUCAACCCAGCCCAGGCAAAGAGGAUCCCAAAAGAUUGCCAAAAACCUGGUGCCAGCUCUGACAGAUGGACAAAGCAUCUGCUCUCGGCUCUGAAGAGAGUUUUCUCAUCCAAGACCCUCAGUGAAAGACUGAACUCAUGAUUCUUCAGAAGCUUAAACGUGCUCUGUAAUCUCAAGUAUUUAAAACCAGAAGAAGUAGCCAACUGCUCAACAUCUUCAUUUCAUCUUGAGUUCUCACCAGGAAGACUUUUCUGAUUUGAAUCUAGACAAAGCAAGACUUAUCUUCAAAUCAGACCCAGCCUGAACUUGCCCUGAAGAUGUAUCAAAGUCCUGCAAAUGGCUCUACAUUUUCUGCAACUUGCGUCAUUUCGUAGAAUUGUGGUGAAUAUCCCCAGGGCAGAAGAGCAGGCAGAGGUUCUCAUAAGCACUGCUGAAGAAUUCUUAUAAUGAAAUAAAUAAAAAUGCUUUACCUCUUUCUCUCUCCGUGUGUGUGUGUGUGUGUGUGUGUGUGUG